ACUCAAAUGAAUUGACGGGGGCCCGCACAAGCGGUGGAGCAUGUGGUUUAAUUCGACGCAACGCGAAAAACCUUACCUGGGUUUGACAUGCCGAGUACCCGAUGGAAACAUUGGGGUGCCCCGUAAGGGGAACUUGGACACAGGUGCUGCAUGGCUGUCGUCAGCUCGUGCCGUGAGGUGUUGGGUUAAGUCCCGCAACGAGCGCAACCCUCACCCUUAGUUGCCAUCAUUAAGUUGGGCACCCUAAGGGAACUGCCGCAGUUAAUGCGGAGGAAGGUGGGGAUGACGUCAAGUCCUCAUGGCCCUUAUAUCCAGGGCUACACACGUGCUACAAUGGACGGUACAAAGGGUCGCGAACCUGUAAGGGGGAGCUAACCCCAGAAAACCGCUCUCAGUUCGGAUUGGAGUCUGCAACCCGACUCCAUGAAGUUGGAAUCGCUAGUAAUCGCGGAUCAGAACGCCGCGGUGAAUACGUUCCCGGGCCUUGUACACACCGCCCGU
rnacentral:rRNA from 1 species